rnacentral:misc_RNA from 1 species
UUACAAGUGAGCUCUCCCAUGUCUAG